rnacentral:rRNA from 1 species
AUUGAACGCUGGCGGCAUGCCUUACACAUGCAAGUCGAACGGCAGCACGGGGCAACCUGGUGGCGAGUGGCGAACGGGUGAGUAAUGCAUCGGAACGUACCUUUCAGUGGGGGAUAACGUAGCGAAAGUUACGCUAAUACCGCAUAUUCUGUGAGCAGGAGAGCAGGGGAUCGCAAGACCUUGCGCUGAUUGAGCGGCCGAUGUCAGAUUAGCUAGUUGGUGAGGUAAAGGCUCACCAAGGCGACGAUCUGUAGCGGGUCUGAGAGGAUGAUCCGCCACACUGGAACUGAGACACGGUCCGGACUCCUACGGGAGGCAGCAGUGGGGAAUUUUGGACAAUGGGGGCAACCCUGAUCCAGCCAUGCCGCGUGAGUGAAGAAGGCCUUCGGGUUGUAAAGCUCUUUCGGCCGGGAAGAAAUCGCACGGGCUAAUACCCUGUGUGGAUGACGGUACCGGAAUAAGAAGCACCGGCUAACUACGUGCCAGCCGCCGCAGUAAUAC